rnacentral:rRNA from 2 species
UCUACGGGAGGCAGCAGUAGGGAAUUUUCGGCAAUGGGGGGAACCCUGACCGAGCAACGCCGCGUGAGUGAAGAAGGUCUUCGGAUUGUAAAGCUCUGUUGUAAGGGAAGAACGUCAGGCAGAGGAUGUCUGAGUGACGGUACCUUACCAGAAAGCCACGGCUAACUACGUGCCAGCAGCCGCGGUAAUA